AGCUUUAAUUUGCUUAUAUUUGCUUAUAUUUGCUUAUUAAUUGAAUUGUUUAUUUCAGUCUCCUAUUUUAAAUUAGUAAAUUGAAUGUAAAUUAUUUGUUUACUAAACUGAUUGAUUAAAAAAGAUACUUUCAAAUUGGCGCUCAUCUUAAGCGCCAUUUCACACAUGUUUGUUAACAUGUGUUAAAAUCGGGUUACAAUGGUUUUACAAUUUUGGGUUUAUUGUCUCGUCAAUCAAAGGAUGAUUGUGACAACCAUGGGAAACUACAGCUGAAGCAAGGUCAAUUUACGGUCAUCAGGAGGAUAGCUCAUUGUUGAUGGAUGAGUUUAACGAUGAACAUAGGUCACGGGAAUUUAUGAUUGUUGAAAUGGUUAACUUGGUCUCACAAGCAGGAUUACAAUUUAAAUAAUAUCAUAAAAACAAAUCAUCAAAUUCUCAUCAAGUUCACAAUCAGAUUUGUAAAUGUGUGUGGAUAUAUGUUUGUGUUUAUUCAUCAAUCUUAUCUGGACACAAAAUCAACCUGAUUUUGAAACAACUUGAGGCCAACUAUUCGCUGGACAAAUAAUCGCAGAAACAGAUAGCUGGUGUUGCUAAUCAUUAUAAAUGAUUAUGAUUAUUAUACAAUGAGUAACAUUUACUACGAGUAAAUUAAAUUAAAUCAACAUCAACAUCAUCAUCAUGACCACCAGGAGCAGAAAUAAUAACUACAAUCACUACCAUCAAAAUUUACUUUAGGUGUUAGCAAAAUUUAGUCCUGUAAUGAGUUAAUUUCACUUUCUUUACAUUUUAACCUAAAUGUCUCUAUUCAUUUUCACACCUAAUCCAUCAUCUGACUUUAACUACACAAUCGACAAUUAAAUUUUCACACUAAUGUAUCACAGUUUUGGACUAAAAUGGUUAAUCAAUUGUAUUCAUACGAUUAUUUUCUGGGAAAGUGAAAAAUUUGUUGUGUAAAAGGAAGCAAAUUGAUUUUACCUCAAACUGUACAUUGAUUGUUGCAAAUUUGGAUUAAUCAGUCCUUUUGGAGAUGAAUUUAAAUUGUAAUCAACUUAACAAAUCACAUUUUUUACAUGCAAACCCAUCGGCGAUUACAUUUUUAAUAUACACAUUAAAUGGUCACUUUUGCCAGCUGUCUACUCACCGAGCUAUCGGUUUGUUUAUAAAUACAAUCUUGGAA